rnacentral:rRNA from 1 species
AGUGAACGCUGGCGGUAGGCCUAACACAUGCAAGUCGAACGGCAGCACAGUAAGAGCUUGCUCUUACGGUUGGCGAGUGGCGGACGGGUGAGGAAUACAUCGGAAUCUACUUUUUCGUGGGGGAUAACGUAGGGAAACUUACGCUAAUACCGCAUACGACCUACGGGUGAAAGCAGGGGAUCUUCGGACCUUGCGCGAUUGAAUGAGCCGAUGUCGGAUUAGCUAGUUGGCGGGGUAAAGGCCCACCAAGGCGACGAUCCGUAGCUGGUCUGAGAGGAUGAUCAGCCACACUGGAACUGAGACACGGUCCAGACUCCUACGGGAGGCAGCAGUGGGGAAUAUUGGACAAAGGGCGCAAGCCUGAUCCAGCCAUACCGCGUGGGUGAAGAAGGCCUUCGGGUUGUAAAGCCCUUUUGUUGGGAAAGAAAAGCAGCAGGUUAAUACCCCGCUGUUCUGACGGUACCAAAAGAAUAAGCACCGGCUAACUUCGUG